GGUGAGUAACGCGUGGGAACGUGCCCUGAGGUACGGAAUAACUGCGGGAAACUGCAGCUAAUACCGUAUGAGCCCCGCAAGGGGGAAAGAUUUUCGCCUUAGGAGCGGACCGCGUCGGAUUAGCUAGUUGGUGGGGUAACGGAUUACCAAGGCUUCGAUCCGUAGCUGGUCUGAGAGGACGAUCAGCCACACUGGGACUGAGACACGGACCAGACUCCUACGGGAGGCAGCAGUGGGGAAUCUUGCGCAAUGGGGGCAACCCUGACGCAGCCAUGCCGCGUGACUGAUGA
rnacentral:rRNA from 1 species